AUGGCCACAGGCGGAAGCGGAAGCGGUCCAGGAGCUGUUGUGGGGAUUGUUGUGUUUGUGUGUGAGAGGGGCACUGUGUGUUUGUUCUUUGGAGGUUUUGGGGGAAGGGCCGGGAGGGGGCUGCGGGUCUCGGCCGUGUGGAGGCAGCUCCUUGAGGCCGCCACCGCCGUCGCCAUGGUGCAGGCAGAGCGUGGGGUGGCUGCCGGGUGACGGGAGGGCGGGGGGCGGGGGUGACGGCAGCUCCUUGGCCCGGCCCGGUUAGCUCCGCAGUGUUCGUCCGAGCUGGGGCGAUACCGGGGUGAGCGGCUCCAGCCGCGCCGGGCCAAAGGCGUGGGCCGCGGCACUGUCAGGAGAAAGAGUAGCUCCUGCCUCCGAAGCCACGGCGUUGGGGGCGUCGGCACCGUCAGCACCUGGUAAAGUAAAGCAAAGCAAAGUAAAGCAAAGCCCGGCCGCCCCCUCCCCACCUCUGAUCGUGCCACCCGAGCCCGUGCCCUAGGGAGGCUGGGAGGGCGGGCGACGGGAGGGGUGCCGGGUCCUCGGCCUACAGCCACCUCCCGCUGUUCCUCCUCUUCCUCUUCUUCUCUUCCUCCUCUUCUUUCCUGCUUCCUUUCUUCUAUUCCUUUUUCUCCUUCUUUCCCCGCCCCCCCUCCCCCUUUCUAUUUCCCGGGGUUGUUUUUGACGAGAACAUGCCUUGCACCUGGAGGAACUGGAGGCGAUGGAUCCGGCCCCUCGUGGUGUUUAUCUACUUGGUGGCCUUGGUCGUCUCUCUGCCUCUGUGCAUAUGGGAGCUGCAAAAAUUAGAGGUUGGAAUACACACAAAAGCAUGGUUUAUUGCUGGAAUCUUUUUACUAAUGACCGUACCAAUAUCUUUCUGGGGGAUUUUACAACACUUAGUGCAUUACACUCAACCUGAACUACAGAAGCCAAUAAUAAGGAUUCUUUGGAUGGUGCCUAUAUACAGCUUAGAUAGUUGGAUAGCCCUGAAGUAUCCCACCAUUGCAAUCUAUGUGGAUACUUGCAGAGAAUGCUAUGAAGCUUAUGUCAUAUACAGUUUCAUGGGAUUCCUUUCUAAUUAUCUGACUAACCGGUAUCCAAAUCUGGUAUUAAUCCUUGAAGCCAAAGAUCAGCAGAAACAUUUGCCUCCUUUCUGCUGCUGUCCAUCAUGGGCAAUGGGAGAAGUAUUAUUGUUCAGGUGCAAACUAGGCGUAUUACAGUAUACUGUUGUAAGACCAUUUACAACUAUCAUUGCUCUAAUCUGUGAGCUGCUUGGUGUAUAUGAUGAAGGGAAUUUUAGCUUUAAAAAUGCUUGGACUUACUUAGUUAUAUUCAACAAUGUGUCACAACUGUUUGCUAUGUAUUGCCUUGUGCUGUUUUAUAAAGUACUGAGGGAAGAACUGAAUCCAAUUCGGCCUGUUGGCAAAUUUCUUUGUGUAAAGAUGGUUGUUUUUGUUUCCUUCUGGCAAGCAGCAAUUAUUGCCUUGUUGGUAAAAGUUGGAGUUAUUUCUGAAAAGCAUACCUGGGAAUGGCAGACAGUAGAAGCUGUGGCUACAGGUCUACAAGAUUUCAUUAUCUGUAUUGAGAUGUUUUUUGCUGCUAUUGCUCAUCACUACAGCUUUUCCUACAAACCCUAUGUGCAGGAGGCAGAGGAAGGCUCAUGCUUUGAUUCUUUUCUUGCAAUGUGGGACAUUUCAGACAUUAGAGAUGAUAUAUCUGAACAAGUAAGAAAUGUUGGGAGGACAGUCCUGGGUCAUCGUAGUAAAAAGUUUUUUCCUGAUGAGGAGGAACAAAAUGAAAAUACAAGUUUAUUAUCAUCAUCUCAAGACCAGAUUUCUGUUGCUUCUUCUAUGCCAUCUUCACCCUUGGGUCACUACCAAGGGUUUGGACACACUGUGACACCACAGACUACGCCUACCUGUUCCAAGAUGCCUGACGAAAUUUAUAAUGCUGUUACAGGAGGAAAUGAAGAACCCUCAGCUAGGUAUAAAUCUGUGGCCUCCUGAACAUUCAGAGAAAUAAUGCUGCUUCUGUCUUGCCAUGGUACUUCAGAACCUGGUAUCCCAUCACUUAUGAAUUUUGUGCUUGGGGUAACACUAAACUGAGGGGAAAUUCCAGCACAAAGAUGGUUGGUGAAAGCCAGGGUGUGUAUAAAGAACACUACAUGCUUACAUUUGAUGGAGAGAAGAAAAUGGCUGCAACUAUUACUGGCAUUAAACUGCUCUGUCAAAUAGAUGGACAUGAAAAUCAAUGUUUUCUACCCCUGCUGCAUGGAAUAGAAUGCUGCUGAAUUAACCUGAAGAGUGGACUUUACAAACAAUUAGGUAAAUGAAUUAGUGCGACUGGAUCAUAAUUAAAGUUAAUGGUUACUUAUGUAGGUUUUGCUUACAUAACAUUUAAAUACUAGAUUUUAUUCCAUUCAAUAAAAGAAGGAACUAUUGACCUAU